CGGGGGAUUAGGGUUCGAUUCCGGAGAGGGAGCCUGAGAAACGGCUACCACAUCUAAGGAAGGCAGCAGGCGCGCAAAUUACCCAAUUCUAACAGCAUAAGAGAGGUAGUGACAAGAAAUAACAGUACAAGGCAGUUAAAAUGCUUUGUAAUUGGAAUGAUAGAAAUUUAAACACUUUUUAAAGUAUCAAUUGGAGGGCAAGUCUGGUGCCAGCAGCCGCGGUAAUUCCAGCUCCAAUAGCGUAUAUUAAAAUUGUUGCAGUUAAAAAGCUCGUAGUUGAAUUUCUGCUAGAAGUAACCGGUCUGCUUUUAUUAAUAAAAGUGGUAUCUUGGUGUGUUUUUAGCAAUAAUGUCCUUUGAAAUGCUUUAUACUUUAUUGUGUAAGGCACUAUUCAGGAUUUUUACUUUGAGAAAAUUAGAGUGUUUCAAGCAGGCUAACGUUUUGAAUACUGCAGCAUGGAAUAAUAAAAUAGGAUUUUGGUUCUACAUUGUUGGUUUUAAGGACUAAAUUAAUGAUUGAUAGGGACAGUUGGGGGCAUUUGUAUUUAACUGUCAGAGGU
rnacentral:rRNA from 1 species